ensembl:snoRNA SNORD63 Small nucleolar RNA SNORD63
GUGCAAUGAUGCAUUUUAUUCAUCAACACAUCAUUCUGAAAAGCACAGAUGUGUAGAAGACUUAAUGACUGAGCACA